rnacentral:rRNA from 1 species
AUUGAACGCUGGCGGCAGGCCUAACACAUGCAAGUCGAGCGGAUGAAGGGAGCUUGCUCCUGGAUUCAGCGGCGGACGGGUGAGUAAUGCCUAGGAAUCUGCCUGGUAGUGGGGGAUAACGUCCGGAAACGGGCGCUAAUACCGCAUACGUCCUGAGGGAGAAAGUGGGGGAUCUUCGGACCUCACGCUAUCAGAUGAGCCUAGGUCGGAUUAGCUAGUUGGUGGGGUAAAGGCCUACCAAGGCGACGAUCCGUAACUGGUCUGAGAGGAUGAUCAGUCACACUGGAACUGAGACACGGUCCAGACUCCUACGGGAGACACCAGUGGGGAAUAUUGGACAAUGGGCGAAAGCCUGAUCCAGCCAAGCCGCGUGUGUGAAGAAGGUCUUCGGAUUGUAAAGCACUUUAAGUUGGGAGGAAGGGCAGUAAGUUAAUACCUUGCUGUUUUGACGUUACCAACAGAAUAAGCACCGGCUAACUUCGUG